rnacentral:rRNA from 1 species
AUACGUAGGGGGCGAGCGUUGUCCGGAAUGAUUGGGCGUAAAGGGCGCGUAGGCGGCGCGGUAAGUCUGGAGUGAAAGUCCUGCUUUCAAGGUGGGAAUUGCUUUGGAUACUGCCGCGCUUGAGUGCAGGAGAGGUUAUCGGAAUUCCCGGUGUAGCGGUGAAAUGCGUAGAGAUCGGGAGGAACACCAGUGGCGAAGGCGCGUAACUGGACUGCAACGGGCGCUGAGGCGCGAAAGUGUGGCGAGCAAACAGGAUUAGAUACCCUGGUAGUCCACGCUGUAAACGAUGAAUGCUAGGUGUAAGAGGUAUCGACCCCAUGUGCGCCUGAGUCAAAACAAUACGGAUUCCGGCUGGCGCGUACGGUCUCAAGGCGGAUACUCAAAGGAAUUGACGGGG